rnacentral:rRNA from 1 species
AUUGAACGCUGGCGGCAUGCCUUACACAUGCAAGUCGAACGGCAGCACGGGAGCAAUCCUGGUGGCGAGUGGCGAACGGGUGAGUAAUAUAUCGGAACGUGCCCAGUCGUGGGGGAUAACGUAGCGAAAGCUACGCUAAUACCGCAUACGAUCUAUGGAUGAAAGCGGGGGAUCGCAAGACCUCGCGCGAUUGGAGCGGCCGAUAUCAGAUUAGGUAGUUGGUGGGGUAAAAGCCUACCAAGCCUUCGAUCUGUAGCUGGUCUGAGAGGACGACCAGCCACACUGGAACUGAGACACGGUCCAGACUCCUACGGGAGGCAGCAGUGGGGAAUUUUGGACAAUGGGCGCAAGCCUGAUCCAGCCAUGCCGCGUGAGUGAAGAAGGCCUC